CAUUACAAUAACAAUGUGUAAAGGGUUAAUCGGCAUUGAACAAAACAUGCAAAGUAACGUUGAAAACAACACACUUAAAAUAAUAAGAACGUGCGUUGAUUUAGAUCAUUGAACUCAUCAUUUUCCCAUACGGUAACUCAUUCGCGGUCCGUUCGUCUUUUCGCACUGCUAUAGUAUCACUCUUUUGGACUUAUAGUUCUUUUCUAGAUGAACUCGGGA